rnacentral:rRNA from 1 species
GAUGAACGCUAGCUACAGGCUUAACACAUGCAAGUCGAGGGGCAGCAUGGUCUUAGCUUGCUAAGGCUGAUGGCGACCGGCGCACGGGUGAGUAACACGUAUCCAACCUGCCGUCUACUCUUGGCCAGCCUUCUGAAAGGAAGAUUAAUCCAGGAUGGCAUCAUGAGUUCACAUGUCCGCAUGAUUAAAGGUAUUUUCCGGUAGACGAUGGGGAUGCGUUCCAUUAGAUAGUAGGCGGGGUAACGGCCCACCUAGUCAACGAUGGAUAGGGGUUCUGAGAGGAAGGUCCCCCACAUUGGAACUGAGACACGGUCCAAACUCCUACGGGAGGCAGCAGUGAGGAAUAUUGGUCAAUGGGCGAUGGCCUGGACCAGCCAAGUAGCGUGAAGGAUGACUGCCCUAUGGGUUGUAAACUUCUUUUAUAAAGGAAUAAAGUCGGGUAUGCAUACCCGUUUGCAUGUACUUUAUGAAUAAGGAUCGGCUAACUCCGUGCCAGCAGCCGCGGUAAUACGGAGGAUCCGAGCGUUAUCCGGAUUUAUUGGGUUUAAAGGGAGCGUAGAUGGAUGUUUAAGUCAGUUGUGAAAGUUUGCGGCUCAACCGUAAAAUUGCAGUUGAUACUGGAUGUCUUGAGUGCAGUUGAGGCAGGCGGAAUUCGUGGUGUAGCGGUGAAAUGCUUAGAUAUCACGAAGAACUCCGAUUGCGAAGGCAGCCUGCUAAGCUGCAACUGACAUUGAGGCUCGAAAGUGU